AUUGAACGCUGGCGGCGUGCUUAACACAUGCAAGUCGAUCGGUAACGCGGGGGCAACCCUGGCGACGAGAGGCGGACGGGUGAGGAACGCUUGGGAAUCUGCCUAUCAGCGGGGGACAACACGGGGAAACUCGUGCUAAUACCGCAUACGCUCUACGGAGGAAAGCCGGGGACCGCAAGGCCUGGCACCGAUAGAUGAGCCCAAGCCGGAUUAGCUAGUUGGCGGGGUAACGGCCCACCAAGGCGACGAUCCGUAGCUGGUCUGAGAGGACGAUCAGCCACACUGGGACUGAGACACGUCCCAGACUGCUACGGGAGGCAGCAGUGGGGAAUAUUGGACAAUGGGGGAAACCCUGAUCCAGCGACGCCGCGUGGGUGAAGAAGGCCUGCGGGUUGUAAAGCCCUUUCGGUAGGGACGAAAGCUCUCGACCUAACACGUUGGGAGGUUGACUUAACCUACAAAAGAAGCACCGGCUAACUCUGUGCCAGCCGCCGCCGUAAUAC
rnacentral:rRNA from 1 species